GAUGAAGAACGCAGCGAAAUGCGAUAAGUAGUGUGAAUUGCAGAAUUCCGUGAAUCAUCGAAUCUUUGAACGCACAUUGCGCCUUCUGGUAUUCCGGAAGGCAUGCCUGUUCGAGAGUCAUUAACAACCGUUUCGAUCCCUUUCUUUCAGAAAUUACAAAGAGGAAAAGGGUUUGGUUAUGGUGGAGGAGGGAAAGGGAGCGUUUAGCCUGUAAAAAAAGAGGCUGUGUUCCGCCUCCCCCCCAAAAUUGUACAGGCGGUUGUGUGCGCCCACGCAUCGAGGUGUUGUAAAAGCUGCCACGGCACUUUUCACCUGUGCAGUGCGAGAUUGGCCAGCCGGUUUAAAAACCCCUCCAAACAAUCAAAGGUUGACCUCGGAUCAGGUAGGGAUACCCGCUGAACUUAAGCAUAUCAAUAAGCGGAGGA
rnacentral:misc_RNA from 1 species